GAAGGUAUAGCUCAGUGGUAGAGCACAUGACUAGCAAGCACAAGACCCUAAGUUCAGGCCCCAGUAUCUCCA
rnacentral:tRNA from 1 species